rnacentral:misc_RNA from 1 species
CGAAAUGCGAUAAGUAGUGUGAAUUGCAGAAUUCAGUGAAUCAUCGAAUCUUUGAACGCACAUUGCGCCCCUUGGUAUUCCAUGGGGCAUGCCUGUUCGAGCGUCAUCUACACCCUCAAGCUCUGCUUGGUGUUGGGCGUCUUUGUCCCGCCUCCGCGCGCGGACUCGCCCCAAAUUCAUUGGCAGCGGUCCUUGCCUCCUCUCGCGCAGCACAUUGCGCUUCUCGAGGUGUUGCGGCCCGCGUCCAGAAAGCAAUCGUUACCGUCUUUGACCUCGGAUCAGGUAGGGAUACCCGCUGAACUUAAGC